CCAAAUAUGGCGGGCCUCCGUGCCCCCGUCCCCAACCCAUUGUUGACCAAAACCCUUUUUGCCUCGGGGGCAGAGCGUCCGCCGCCGCCCCCGGAGGACCAUUUAACGCUGUCUCUUUGCGUCGGAGUAUUGAUUAAAUAAAUGA
rnacentral:misc_RNA from 1 species